rnacentral:rRNA from 1 species
AGUGAACGCUGGCGGUAGGCCUAACACAUGCAAGUCGAACGGCAGCACAGUAAGAGCUUGCUCUUACGGGUGGCGAGUGGCGGACGGGUGAGGAAUACAUCGGAAUCUACUUUUUCGUGGGGGAUAACGUAGGGAAACUUACGCUAAUACCGCAUACGACCUACGGGUGAAAGCAGGGGAUCUUCGGACCUUGCGCGAUUGAAUGAGCCGAUGUCGGAUUAGCUGGUUGGUGGGGUAAAGGCCCACCAAGGCGACGAUCCGUAGCUGGUCUGAGAGGAUGAUCAGCCACACUGGAACUGAGACACGGUCCAGACUCCUACGGGAGGCAGCAGUGGGGAAUAUUGGACAAUGGGCGCAAGCCUGAUCCAGCCAUACCGCGUGGGUGAAGGAGGCCUUCGGGUUGUAAAGCCCUUUUGUUGGGAAAGAAAAGCAGCAGGUUAAUACCCCGCUGUUCUGACGGUACCCAAAGAAUAAGCACCGGCUAACUUCGUG